CCCAGAGCCGUUAGUCGAGUGAAAUUUGUUUAUCUCGAAACCGGUAAUUUGGGCAAGUAUUCAUUGUAAGCAUGAUAUAUAAUUGAUUAUUUCCACCGGAAUGCUCUUUGUGUCCAUCUUUACAUCAUAAUUUUUAUUGUAAUCAUGUUUCCUAUGGAGUUUCUGCAUGACUGUAUAUUUUGUGUGUGUAAUGGUAAUCAGCUGUUCCCCACUGCCCAAUAAUCCCGUUCCUAAACUAAUCUGUAAAUAGCCUAAAGGCAGAUCUGUAUAGAUCUUUAUAUCGCUUUUUGGAAAUCUGCGACACUUGACCCGAGAAUCUGCGACACUGGAAAAAUUGACGUCAUUUAACAAUCACUUUUAGUUAGUAACGGCAAACAUUUCCUAUUGUGACAUCAAAUGUUACGGGAAUCUUAACGAUGUCCAGUAAUUGCGGACAAAAGCAAUAAUGGUUUUUUUGGACAUAGUUGAUUUUUUUUUACAAAUUUGUGUAUUCGUACAUCGUUUUCUCAACAUAAGGUGAAGAGUUCUUCAGAAGUGGCAAUAUUUUUAGACAUGGUAUUUCCCAUCUGACGUGGUAUUUGCUAGUUCCUUAAUGACAAAUACACCGGCAGAGAAAAGAAAAUCUCAAAAUAUUAUAAAUUUGUCAAAAAUAGCAUUUCUCUUAAUAAAUAUUUAGGGAGC
rnacentral:lncRNA from 1 species